GCGCCCGACCUCCAACCCUUUGUUGUUAAAACUACCUUGUUGCUUUGGCGGGACCGCUCGGUCUCGAGCCGCUGGGGAUUCGUCCCAGGCGAGCGCCCGCCAGAGUUAAACCAAACUCUUGUUAUUAAACCGGUCGUCUGAGUUAAAAUUUUGAAUAAAUCAAAACUUUCAACAACGGAUCUCUUGGUUCUCGCAUCGAUGAAGAACGCAGCGAAAUGCGAUAAGUAAUGUGAAUUGCAGAAUUCAGUGAAUCAUCGAAUCUUUGAACGCACAUUGCGCCCCUUGGUAUUCCGAGGGGCAUGCCUGUUCGAGCGUCAUUACACCACUCAAGCUAUGCUUGGUAUUGGGUGCCGUCCUUAGUUGGGCGCGCCUUAAAGACCUCGGCGAGGCCUCACCGGCUUUAGGCGUAGUAGAAUUUAUUCGAACGUCUGUCAAAGGAGAGGACUUCUGCCGACUGAAACCUUUAUUUUUCUAGGUUGACCUCGGAUCAGGUAGGGAUACCCGCUGAACUUAAGCAUAUCAAUAGGCCGGGAGGAA
rnacentral:rRNA from 1 species